AUGAGCUGGCGGCAGGCUACAGAUGCAAGUCGAGCGGUAGAGAGAAGCUUGCUUCUCUUGAGAGCGGCGGACGGGUGAGUAAUGCCUAGGAAUCUGCCUGGUAGUGGGGGAUAACGUUCGGAAACGAACGCUAAUACCGCAUACGUCCUACGGGAGAAAGCAGGGGACCUUCGGGCCUUGCGCUAUCAGAUGAGCCUAGGUCGGAUUAGCUAGUUGGUGAGGUAAUGGCUCACCAAGGCGACGAUCCGUAACUGGUCUGAGAGGAUGAUCAGUCACACUGGAACUGAGACACGGUCCAGACUCCUACGGGAGGCAGCAGUGGGGAAUAUUGGACAAUGGGCGAAAGCCUGAUCCAGCCAUGCCGCGUGUGUGAAGAAGGUCUUCGGAUUGUAAAGCACUUUAAGUUGGGAGGAAGGGCAGUUACCUAAUACGUGAUUGUUUUGACGUUACCGACAGAAUAAGCACCGGCUAACUCUGUGCCAGCAGCCGCGGUAAUACAGAGGGUGCAAGCGUUAAUCGGGAACUUACUUGGGCCGUAAAAGCGCGCGGUAAGGUGGUCANGGUANAAGGUUGAGCAUGUGCAAAAUCCCCCCGGGGGAUUCAACCUGGGANAACAUGCAUUUCACAAACUGCANCUGACUAAAGUAUGGUAGACAGGGUGGAGAAUUUACCUGUGUCAGCGGGAAAAUGGUAGCAUAUACGGAACAGGACNCCAUAGA
rnacentral:rRNA from 1 species